CGGUACUGUCGCAUAGAGAUGAGUCCGCGUCCCAUUAGCUAGUUGCGGGUAACGGCCACCAAGGCAACGAUGGGUAGCCGAUCUGAGAGGAUGAUCGGCCACACUGGAACCUGAAACACGGUACCAGACUCCUACGGGAGGCAGCAGUGGGGAAUAUUGCGCAAUGGGCGAAAGCCUGACGCAGCGACGCCGCGUGAGGGAUGAAGGUCUUCGGAUCGUAAACCUCUGUCAGAAGGGAAGAACGUACUGUGUGCUAAUCAGCGCAGUAGUGACGGUACCUUCAAAGGAAGCACCGGCUAACUCCGUGCCAGCAGCCGCGGUAAUACGGAGGGUGCAAGCGUUAAUCGGAAUCACUGGGCGUAAAGCGCACGUAGGCUGUCGUGUAAGUCAGGGGUGAAAGCCCACGGCUCAACCGUGGAAUUGCCCUUGAUACUGCAUGACUGGAAUCCGGGAGAGGGUGGCGGAAUUCCAGGUGUAGGAGUGAAAUCCGUAGAUAUCUGGAGGAACAUCAGUGGCGAAGGC
rnacentral:rRNA from 1 species